AAUGUCUAAGUAUCAUUAAGUGAAUACAUAGCUUAAUGAGGGGAACUCAGGGAACUGAAACAUCUAAGUACCUGAAGGAAGAGAAAGAAAUUCGAUUCCGUAAGUAGCGGCGAGCGAACGCGGAUUAGCCCAAACCAAUAAAGUUUUCUUUAUUGGGGUUGCGGACAUAUCAUAACGAAGAGGUAUCGUAAUUGAAGAGGUUUGGAAAGACCCACCACAGAAGGUAAUAGUCCUGUAUGUUAAACGAGAAGACUUUAGAUAUGAUCCAGAGUACCACGGGACACGUGAAACCCUGUGGGAAGCAGGAGGGACCACCCUCCAAGGCUAAAUACUACCUAGUGACCGAUAGCGUAUAGUACCGUGAGGGAAAGGUGAAAAGAACCCCGGGAGGGGAGUGAAAUAGAACCUGAAACCCUGCACUUACAAGCUGUGGAAGCACAUUUCUUGUGUGACCGCGUACUUUUUGUAGAACGGGCCAACGAGUUACGUUAAGUAGCAAGGUUAAGCACUUAAGGUGUGGAGCCGUAGCGAAAGCGAGUUUUAACUGAGCGUUCAGUUACUUGACGUAGACCCGAAACCGGGCGACCUACCCAUGAGCAGGAUGAAGCGAAAGUAAAAUUUCGUGGAGGUCCGAACCCACGAGCGUUGAAAAGCUCGGGGAUGACUUGUGGGUAGCGGUGAAAUUCCAAUCGAGCCCGGAGAUAGCUGGUUCUCCCCGAAAUAGCUUUAGGGCUAGCCUCAAGGUGAGAGAUACGGAGGUAGAGCACUGAAUGUCCUAGGGGGUAUUGCACCUACCGAAGACUAUCAAACUCCGAAUGCCGUCAUCUUAUACUUGGGAGUCAGACUGUGGGUGAUAAGAUUCAUAGUCGAAAGGGCAACAGCCCAGAUCGUCAGCUAAGGUCCCUAAAUGUAAGUUAAGUGGUAAAGGAUGUGGGAUUGCACAGACAACCAGGAUGUUGGCUUAGAAGCAGCCACUCAUUCAAAGAGUGCGUAAUAGCUCACUGGUCGAGUGAUCCUGCGCCGAAGAUUUCCGGGGCUAAAACUUACUACCGAAGCUACGGCAUCAGUAAUGAUGGGUAGGGGAGCUUCCCAUACGGGUUGAAGCAUGACCGUAAGGACAUGUGGACAGUAUGGGAGUGAGAAUGUUGGCAUGAGUAGCGAGAUGUGGGUGAGAAUCCCACAGGCCGUAAACCCAAGGUUUCCAGGGGAAGGUUCGUCCGCCCUGGGUUAGUCGGGACCUAAGCUGAGGCCGAAAGGCGUAGGUGAUGGACAACAGGUUGAUAUUCCUGUACUACCGAUAACCGUUUGAGAGAAGGGAUGACACAGUAGGAUAAGCUAAGCACACUGUUGGUUAUGUGUGCCCAAGCAUUGAGGCAGUCAAAGUAGGUAAAUCCGCUUUGAUAAUGCUGGGAUGUGAUGGGGAGCGAAAUUUAGUAGCGAAGUAGCUGAUUUCACACUGUCAAGAAAAGUCUCUAUCGAGGUUAAAGGUACCCGUACCGCAAACCGACACAGGUGGGUGAGGAGAGUAUCCUAAGGCCAGCGAGAGAACUGUUGUUAAGGAACUCGGCAAAAUGACCCCGUAACUUAGGGAUAAGGGGUGCCACCAUCAGGUGGCCGCAGAGAAUAGGCCCAAGCGACUGUUUACCAAAAACAUAGGUUUCUGCUAAGUCGCAAGACGAUGUAUAGGAGCUGACGCCUGCCCGGUGCUGGAAGGUUAAGGGGAUCUGUUAGAGCAAUCGAAGCAGUGAACUUAAGCCCCAGUAAACGGCGGCCGUAACUAUAACGGUCCUAAGGUAGCGAAAUUCCUUGUCGGGUAAGUUCCGACCCGCACGAAAGGCGUAACGAUUUGGGCACUGUCUCAACAACAGACUCGGUGAAAUUGUAAUUCCGGUGAAGAUGCCGGAUACCUGCGACAGGACGGAAAGACCCCAUGGAGCUUUACUGUAGCUUGACAUUGGGUCUUGGUACUACAUGUACAGGAUAGGUGGGAGGCUUUGAAACCAGGACGCCAGUUUUGGCGGAGCCAUCCUUGGGAUACCACCCUUGUAGUACUGGGACUCUAACCAUAGGCCAUGAAUCUGGUCUUGGGACACUGUCAGGUGGGCAGUUUGACUGGGGCGGUCGCCUCCCAAAAGGUAACGGAGGUGCUCAAAGGUUCUCUCAGUACGGUCGGAAAUCGUACGUAGAGUGUAAAGGCAAAAGAGAGCUUGAUUGCAAGACAUACAGGUCGAGCAAGGAUGAAAAUCGGACUUAGUGAUCCGGUGGUUCUGCGUGGAAGGGCCAUCGCUCAACGGAUAAAAGCUACCCUGGGGAUAACAGGCUUAUCUCCCCCAAGAGUCCACAUCGACGGGGAGGUUUGGCACCUCGAUGUCGGCUCAUCACAUCCUGGGGCUGUAGUAGGUCCCAAGGGUUGGGCUGUUCGCCCAUUAAAGUGGUACGCGAGCUGGGUUCAGAACGUCGUGAGACAGUUCGGUCCCUAUCCGUCGCAGGCGUAGGAAAUUUGAGAAGACCUGUCCUUAGUACGAGAGGACCGGGAUGGACGUACCUCUGGUGUACCAGUUGUCCUGCCAAGGGCAUGGCUGGGUAGCUAUGUACGGAAUGGAUAAGCGCUGAAAGCAUCUAAGCGCGAAGCCAACUUCAAGAUAAGAUUUCCCACCGCAAGGGUAAGACCCCAGAAAGACUAUCUGGUUGAUAGGUCGAAGGUGUAAGUGCAGCAAUGUAUUUAGCUUAUCGAUACUAAUAGGUCGAGGACUUGACCAA
rnacentral:rRNA from 1 species